AUUGAACGCUGGCGGCAUGCCUUACACAUGCAAGUCGAGCGGCAGCACGGGAGCAAUCCUGGUGGCGAGUGGCGAACGGGUGAGUAAUACAUCGGAACGUGCCCAGUUGUGGGGGAUAGCCCGGCGAAAGCCGGAUUAAUACCGCAUACGACCUAUGGGUGAAAGCGGGGGAUCGCAAGACCUCGCGCAAUUGGAGCGGCCGAUGUCAGAUUAGGUAGUUGGUGGGGUAAAAGCCUACCAAGCCGACGAUCUGUAGCUGGUCUGAGAGGACGACCAGCCACACUGGGACUGAGACACGGCCCAGACUCCUACGGGAGGCAGCAGUGGGGAAUUUUGGACAAUGGGCGCAAGCCUGAUCCAGCCAUGCCGCGUGUGGGAAGAAGGCCUCGGGUUGUAAACCACUUUUGUCAGGGAAGAAACGGCCUAGGCUAACAUCUUGGCCUAAUGACGGUACCUGAAGAAUAAGCACCGGCUAACUACGUGCCAGCAGCCGCGGUAAUACGUAGGGUGCAAGCGUUAAUCGGAAUUACUGGGCGUAAAGCGUGCGCAGGCGGGCUUUGCAAAGACAGAUGUGAAAAUCCCCCGGGGCUCAACCUGGGAACUGCAUUUGUGACUGCAAGGCUAGAGUACGGCAGAGGGGGAUGGAAUUCCGCGUGUAGCAGUGAAAUGCGUAGAUAUGCGGAGGAACACCGAUGGCGAAGGCAAUCCCCUGGGCCUGUACUGACGCUCAUGCACGAAAGCGUGGGGA
rnacentral:rRNA from 1 species